AGUGAACGCUGGCGGUAGGCCUAACACAUGCAAGUCGAACGGCAGCACAGUAAGCGCUUGCUCUUACGGGUGGCGAGUGGCGGACGGGUGAGGCAUACAUCGGAAUCUACUUUUUCGUGGGGGAUAACGUAGGGAAACUUACGCUAAUACCGCAUAUGACCUACGGGUGAAAGCAGGGGAUCUUCGGACCUUGCGCGAUUGAAUGAGCCGAUGUCGGAUUAGCUAGUUGGCGGGGUAAAGGCCCACCAAGGCGACGAUCCGUAGCUGGUCUGAGAGGAUGAUCAGCCACACUGGAACUGAGACACGGUCCAGACUCCUACGGGAGGCAGCAGUGGGGAAUAUUGGACAAUGGGCGCAAGCCUGAUCCAGCCAUACCGCGUGGGUGAAGAAGGCCUUCGGGUUGUAAAGCCCUUUUGUUGGGAAAGAAAAGCAGCAGGUUAAUACCCCGCUGUUCUGACGGUACCCAAAGAAUAAGCACCGGCUAACUUCGUG
rnacentral:rRNA from 1 species